GUGAACAAAGUUUUGCAUAAUUUUGAUUCUUGUUUUUGAUGUUGGCAGCAACCCUUAUACUAAUAUAUCUGCUUUCUUUUAUUUGCGUGUGAGUGGCUGUCUGGCGAACUUUGGGUGGGUGACUCAGUGAGCUUCAGAUUUUGAGCUGUUUUGUGAUGUUCAAUUUUCUGCUUGAAAAAAGGUGAAUCUUAGCCUCCUUUUAUUUGGCAAUGUUUGCCAUUGUGGUAGUUUAUGAGCUUAAUUAUUAGUCAACUGUAGUAAUUUUAGAUCGUCUUCUUGCAUGCAGAGACUUUGAUUAGUACAAUUAGAAAAUGUAACUCAAUGAGUUAAGCCAUAAAGAUGGGUACAAAAUCUGCUAGAUUGAACAAAAUGGGCACAAGUUGAUUUUGUGGCCCUCGCAAAAUCGAGUACCCAAAGUCAAAUCUGCAUAGAAGACAGACACCCAUUUUAGCCAAACUAAACACCUAAAAGUUCCGCUUCUACCGGUGCUUUUACAGUUAUAACCUUCCCAGUACACUGUAAGUAUCUGUUUUACAGAAUAAAGCCUGCCCCACUUUUUUUUAUUUGAUUUUUUAGUAUGAUAUUAGCUGAAGAUGCAUUUUUCUCCAAUCAAGAGGCAUGUCGAUCACGAUAAUGAGACAUGAUAAAUUUUAUAUUUUAUAUUUUAAUUAUUCUAAUUUAAUUUAAUUAUGAUUAAAAAUAUUUUUAGGAAAGAGAAAAAUAUGUAUUUUGUUAA